AACUUCCGUCCCGUAAUGCCUCUAAAUAACCGCACCGUUAGAACUAACAUUCUGCCGAAUGACAAUGAAAGCUGUCGUCCUGAAAGAGUAUAUUCGUACGAAGUAAAUGAACGAUUCAUGACAUGACGGCGAUUGAGCGUUGAUAGUAUCCCAAUCACACGUCUCCUGGAGAGAACGGCCGCCAGCUUGUCUUCCACACACCUAGAACCCUGACACAAAGGGCCAGACUAUCACAGAUAUGUUCUCGAUUAGACGACCGAUACCGUGAUGUAUUGCCACCUCCUCCCUGGUAAAUACGUCCCGGACGCGGUUUUGAGAAGCCGGCGACCAGAUAGCGUGCCAAUGGAGUAAGAAGAGAAGCAGCAGACGACCGAUAAGGCACAAGCCUUCAAUUUAAAUGCCAGCUCGUGCCGUGUUCAAGAACCUGAGGUUUGGAAAUAUGUGAUUUCUGAAUGAAAAAGGGACAAUCGAUCACAGUCUAUGUCGCAGAUUAAGGAAACAAUGUCAAGCCCAGUCCCAUCGUGACGUUCUCACUUUGCCGUCACACGGAAGAAUUCUUGUACGGUGACUAAAAAAUGCAGUUUUUCUUUGGGGGGGAGGGGGACACCUCGUCUGAGACAUUAGAAUGAUGGGGAGUUCGGCCGUAGGUUUUUUGUUCUCAUACCACAGAUAUAACAAUAGAAAGCGUCAACGCCAUGGGUCAUUUAAUGUAUCAACAUUCAUGUGUGGUUACUCAGUUGUUUGCAGAGAACCUAUUGCUAACAAAUAUCUCCGUUUUUUUGAGUGUGGGCAAAGAUACAUCACCUUCCUGGUACGUCAGGAUUAAAUAUACAAAUCAUCCAUGACAUUCAUUCAACGGGACAACACAUUGCUAUGGAUCUAUUUGUUGUAAGCGUUGAGAGAUUUUCUAUACUGAUUUCUACCGUCUUGCCUGGCGCACUUGCCAAUCUAAUAUGUAUUAAAUACUUGUUAUUCGCGUUUGCUUACAACAUUUGCCCUUACGACUAAGAGAAACUGUGAAUACCUUGAGAAAUGGAAGGACAAAUAACUUUGGUCAAAAGGUGCUUCACUCUAUGGUUAAACUGUGUGGAAACAGUAAUGCCGUUCACAACUGAUUCACGGUGUUGCAUGCUGAGGAAUGUAUCAGCUACGUCUGAUUUCGAGAUAAUCGCCCUUAGGGAACUCUUCAAUAAGGAGACAAAAGGGAUGGAUACCUGACAGACGGAGAAACCGGAGCUAUAUAUAUGUGUAUUUUGGAGGUUAAACUCAGACGUAAGUUUGGCAAUUUAUUAUAAUGUUAUAACUUGCAUAUAUGGGCAUUCUCGACAAACCUAUCCCAUGAAAUCCACGGUCAAAUCCCUGUGAACAGAAGGAUUUUGAUGUACAAAACCAGCAUAUUACAUCGAAGCAUAUUCCCCUUGAGUUUGCAAAGGUAAUAGUUUCGUAAAAACUGUUUCUUUUCAUUCCAUUCUUGACGUUUUUUGCCUUAUAAGCAAAUCAGCUUACCGUUUGUAUGACGAAAAAUAAGCCGUUAUAAAGUGUAACAGU